rnacentral:lncRNA from 1 species
CGUGUGCCCAGCAAGACAAGCCCCCCAGACACCCCUCACCCGGCAAGACACUGCCCCACUUCAUCACUACGAAAUGUCCAAGAAGAGAGCUAAAUGUAAAACCAAUCACCCACCUUUCCCUAGGAAACCGUCAGCCCAACCUCAACAAACCCUACAUUCCUGCUGACCUUGAAACCACCAGAAAAUAAGAAACAAUUCACCAAGGAAGAAAUACAACUUGUCCUUAAAUACUGAAGAAAGAUGUUCAUUUCAUCCAGGGAAGAGCUGAUGUUGCAGUAUUAAGCCUGGAGGCCAUCUAGAAGCAGAAUUCCCCUCUUCCUUGGAACACUGCAGUCUUUUUCUCUUGAGGCCUUCAACAUAUUGGAAGAGGCCUACCUGCACUGUGGAGGGCCAUCUGCUUUAUUCAAAGUUUACUGAUUACUUUUGCACCAACCUAAUACAUGUUAAUUACGGCCUGGCACGGCGUCACGCCUAUAAUCCCAGCACUUUGGGAGGCCGAGGCAGGGGCAUCACCUGAGGUCGGGAGUUCAAGACCAGCCUGACCAACAUGGAGAAACCCCGUGUCUACUAAAAAUA